GACGAACGCUGGCGGCGUGCCUAAUACAUGCAAGUCGAGCGGACGGAUGGGAGCUUGCUCCCAGACCGUCAGCGGCGGACGGGUGAGUAACACGUGGGCAACCUGCCUGUAAGACUGGGAUAACUCCGGGAAACCGGGGCUAAUACCGGAUAACUCUUUCCCUCACAUGAGGGAAAGCUGAAAGAUGGCAUCUCGCUAUCACUUACAGAUGGGCCCGCGGGGCAUUAGCUGGUUGGUGAGGUAACGGCUUACCAAGGCGACGAUGCGUAGCCGACCUGAGGGGGGGAUAGGCCACACUGGGAGUGGGACACGGACCAGACUCCUACGGGAGGCAGCAGUAGGGAAUCUUCCGCAAUGGACGAAAGUCUGACGGAGCAACGCCGCGUGAGUGAUGAAGGUGUUCGGAUCGUAAAACUCUGUUGUCAGGGAAGAACAAGUACCGGAGUAACUGCCGGUAGCUUGACGGUACCUGGUCAGAAAGCCACGGCUAACUACGUG
rnacentral:rRNA from 1 species